GUAUAUGUGAACAUAGCCUAAUUAUAUAUAUAUAUAUGGUUUGUUAUUCGUGCAUGUCAAAACUGCAUGUCGUGUCUUGGAGGAACUGACCAUACUCUUAUGUUUCUCAUAUAUAACAAAAGCAACAUUUGUUUUCUCCAUAUGAGAAAUAAUCAAGUAUUUUUUUUUUUACUUUUUGUUGGUGAUUAGAUAUUCAUGUCCUGCUAUAGAUGCAAGCUUGAGUAGAGUUGACAGAACAUGUCAUAAAUAUGUUUUGAGAUGACAUUUUGUGGUUGGAAGAAGAUAGUUUUUUUUUAUGAUAAAUAUAUAAUAAUUUCUAUGGCCAAGGGGCACUGUUAUUUUGGAAGGUGAUGAUGCUUUGUUGAAACGUUAUUUUAGUUCAUUUGGAGGGUUAAUUUAUGUUACUUUAUCAUCAAUCUGAAUUAAUUUUACUAAUGUCAGCUUCUUUUGACAUGUAUGGCUAUAUCAUUCCAGAAAUUUAGUGAUCCCUCUAUGGUAUUGUAUUUUGUAUUCAUCUUGAUUUAUCUUGUACUGAUAUUGAAAUAUUGGGCAGCUGAGAAAUGUAACUCGCAAACUUGAAUCCGAUCUUCAUAGCAGUAAGAAGCGGUUUGCAGAACUUGCUGAGCAGUGUGAAUCGUUAAAGAAGGGGCGAGAGGCAUCUGAUGAAAGAGAGGAGGCUUUAAAUGAGUUGAAAUCCAUUCAGCAAAAGCAUA